rnacentral:rRNA from 1 species
UACAGGGGGGGCAAGCGUUGUUCGGAAUUACUGGGCGUAAAGGGCCAGUAGGCGGCCAACUAAGUCACACGUGAAAUCCCCAGGCUUAACCUGGGAACUGCGUGUGAUACUGGAUGGCUUGAAUUCGGGAGAGGGAUGCAGAAUUCCAGGUGUAGCGGUGAAAUGCGUAGAUAUCUGGAGGAAUACCGGUGGCGAAGGCGGCAUCCUGGACCGACACUGACGCUGAGGAGCGAAAGCCAGGGGAGCAAACGGG